ACAAAUACAUCGAAGAAGGAAAGUAAUAUUUAAUGAAGAUUCAGAGAGAAUAUCCAUUAGCUGAAAGGAUAUUUAUUGGAAUUAUAUAUGAAGUGCCCUUUGGAGUACGAUACCGAAUUAAGUAGGCUAUCGCGGUUUUAACCGUUAUAUUAAUAGAGUAUGAUAGUACUUGAAGAGUGGGGUUAUUUUUUUACCAAAUAGAGUGGAACCGCGGAUAUUAUCCGUCUCUAAG
rnacentral:ncRNA from 1 species